GUGGGGAAUAUUGGACAAUGGGGGGAACCCUGAUCCAGCCAUGCCGCGUGUGUGAAGAAGGCCUUUUGGUUGUAAAGCACUUUAAGCGAGGAGGAGGCUACCGAGAUUAAUACUCUUGGAUAGUGGACGUUACUCGCAGAAUAAGCACCGGCUAACUCUGUGCCAGCAGCCGCGGUAAUACAGAGGGUGCAAGCGUUAAUCGGAUUUACUGGGCGUAAAGCGCGCGUAGGUGGCCAAUUAAGUCAAAUGUGAAAUCCCCGAGCUUAACUUGGGAAUUGCAUUCGAUACUGGUUGGGUAGAGUAUGGGAGAGGAUGGUAGAAUUCCAGGUGUAGCGGUGAAAUGCGUAGAGAUCUGGAGGAAUACCGAUGGCGAAGGCAGCCAUCUGGCCUAAUACUGACACUGAGGUGCGAAAGCAUGGGGAGCAAACAGGAUUAGAUACCCUGGUAGUCC
rnacentral:rRNA from 1 species